GCCAUAUAACGUUGAAAUACCGGUUCUCGUAGAAUCACCGAAGUUAAGCAUCGCCGAGCCUGGUCAGUACCUAGAUGGGUGACUGCUUGGGGAUACCAGAUGCAGUA